GCUCCGGUAGUCUUGUGGUUAGAACGUCCGCCUCAGACGCGGGAGGUCGGGCGGUUCGAACCCCAGUCGAGUCA